AGAAUUGCAAAACUCAGAAAACUGGAGAGCAGACAGGCAAAUUAAAAACCGAUUUAACACACCUGGGAAAGCUGGCCCCUAAUUAACAGUAUGGGAAAUCUAGAGGCCAGGAGAGUUAUAACAGAGACUCCCUCACCACAUGCAUAAACAAAUCUUAGUGAUUGGGGGCUGCAAGAGCGCUGAAAUGGGGAAGCAGGUGAAGUUAACAAUUUGGGAAAUGAGUGAAAGUGUAUAUUAGAAAUAGGUGUCCCAGAUCGCUUCGUUGAUCCUUUUCAACUGGGCAAAUGCCCGUCCCUUAUUUCAGCACAGAGCAACGUGCUAAUUUGCCUGCAAGUUUGAAACAGAGGGACUCUGAGCAUGAGGAAUCCAACACAACCGUGAAUGUAAAAGCAUAGCAUGAAAUCAUAGAGAUGAAGAGAAAGUCAGAAAAUGGUGACAAGUCAACUUACACCCUCAGUCAAGAGAGGAUUCUUCUCUGGAGAAACAAGAAAAAAGACGUUGAGUUACAGAAAGUUGAGGAGUCUCCCCCAAAAUGAAGGAGUCAAAGGAUCAUCCAGGAAGCCACUCCUAGAAAGGCCACAGCUUCCUUCUUACCAUAUGAAUACUAAGGUAAAAGCCCUGUGAGACCUACCCACUGCCUGGCCUUGAGCUUCAUCCUGGAUCCUCCACUAUACCCAUGAAGAGAAGACAGCAAAAUCUCUUCUUCCCAUUCUCUAGAAACUCUAUGACACUAUUUCCCAGAUAACUAAAGGAAUUUUAAUGAACUUUAUCACUGACAGAAUUGAGAAUGUAAAAGUUUCAUCUUUGUAACGGAAUUGCAUAAUCCAAUAGCUUAAAAAUAUAAAUAGAAAAUGACACCUCUAGGCACAUACAUAAAAUAUUUGUUUCCUAACAUAUAAAACGAUAAUAAAAGCUUCUGCUUUUAGGGUUAUUUGAAAAUUAAAAUGAAAUUAUGUAUGUAAAAUGCUCACCAUAAUACCUGGCCCAGGGUAAUGCAUGCAAUAAAUAGUAGAUACAUUGAAUGAGUUCAUUGCAAAAAUGUGUUUCGAAGAUGGUUUAACUGGAAUUCUAAGAAAUAAUGUUAAAAGAGAUGGCUAGAUAUCUAGGUGAGGGCCAAAACACAAAUUUAACCCUUAAAUGACUGGAAGUAUAAAAUUCGAAUCCCUAAUGACAUCAUUGUUAAUUAAUUAACAUUUAUUAAGAGCCUGCUACUUACCUAGUAACUAAUCUCCAAGAGAAGACAAUGUGUAUGGAGUGCAAAAAAAGGCUUCAGAUUUCAGAGAAUGUUUCCUUGACCAGCCUAUGUAUAAGUUACUGUCCAAGCAUGGUCUGAACACAGAGGCCUCUGCAGUCUCUCUUGUUACUGAUCUGUGUUGAAAUUAGAAUAGUAAUUGAGAGUAAACAUUUAGAUAUUUUUACAACUAUUUCAUGGAGUAAUUUCAUUUUUUUAUCUACUAACUGUAAAAACUAAACUUGCAUUUUUGUAUUAUUUUUCUGGUAAUAUAUUCAUAUAAUAUUUUAUAGAAGUUUUGUCCAGUAAUGGAUUGGGAGAAAAUAACAGUUCACAUCUCACUUAGACUAUGAAUAGUUUGGAAAGUGUGAUCCAAA
rnacentral:lncRNA from 10 species